UUGCAACCAGCCAGAUUACGUUAAACUCGUCAAGGCACUUUGUGCGGAGCACAAUGUAAACUUGAUGACAGUUCCAAGUGCAAAGACCCUUGGCGAGUGGGCUGGUCUAUGCAAAAUUGAUUCCGAAGGGAAGGCUAGGAAGGUCGUUGGGUGCUCUUGUGUUGUAGUUAAGGACUUUGGGGAGGAUCAUGAGGCACUUCACAUUGUCCAGAAGCACGUGAGUUCAAGUUGAUUGUCUGAAUGGUGGUGUUUGUUGGUAUCACUAAGAAAGUUUUUGAUCUUUAGUUAUGUUUAGGUUGAUUCCCUGUUGCUGCUGAACACGUUUUUACCCUAUAAUGUUUUUCUUUGUUUAUUAUUGAUUGGUGGAAAGAUUUUCGGCAAACAGAACACAAUUUAUUUAUCAAGAGGCUCCUUGCCAAGGGUAAAAGGGA
rnacentral:misc_RNA from 1 species